AUGACCGGUAACAUGUGGCAGAGGAUUGCCACUCCAUACAUACGAUAUCUCAAGCCUAGCCUUGCUCCUCCCCAUCACCACAUGUAUGAACAGCAAUAUUCUCUCAUGAACAUUGCGUCCAAAACCAUGUUCCAGAUGUGCAUCAUGGUGGCCUCCCUUCUCAUCGCCUCAGGGGAUGUUGCGGCUGCUAGACAACAACAUGCUCUAAUGAGAGGCUUCGUUUUGCUGCGGAUGCUUGUGAUAGCCAACCUCUGGAUAAUAUGCAGCGGCAGUGUUCAGAAACAAGUUCUCCUGCCAGGGUUCAGUGCCUCCGAAAAUGAUUACAUCCAUAAUAAUGCAAUUUUUCUGGUGUCCAAUGGCACUGUAUAUGGCUUGGGCUUUGUGUCCAGUAGUGCAUCAGCGAGCAACUCCUCCUAUCUUCUCUCAGUGGUGCACCUACCCUCCUAUACUGUCAUCUGGACUGCCAAUGCUAACUCUCCUGUUUCUAGUAUGGAUACCUUUGUGUUCGACAAGGAUGGUAAUGCCUACCUGUGGUCUCAAGGCUCCACCAUCUGGACUGCCAAUCUCUCCGGCAAGGGCGCCUCUAUUCGGCUGCUGGACUCUGGCAAUCUUAUAGUGCUCGGCAAAGACGGCUCUUCUCUUGUAUGGCAGAGUUUCAGCUAUCCAGCGAACACACUUGUGUCUGGCCAGAGCUUCACUGAUGGGAUGACACUUGUGAGGCAGUCCAGCACACACAACAUUAGUUAUACACUUGGGAUCACAUCAGGGGACAUGAGGUUGUACGCAGGCUUCCAGAACCCCCAACCUUACUGGUCUGCGCUGCAGGAUACAAGGUUGAUCGUGAACAUGGAUGGAGCCAUUUACUCUUCAAACCUCAGUUCAGCUUCGUGGUGCUUCUAUGAUAAAUCAGGGUCUCUUCUAUCAGAGCUUGUCAUUGCGCAGCAGGGUGAUGCCAAUGACACGUUGAUUGCUGUCCUCGGCGAGGAUGGAUCCCUUUCCUUCUACAUCCUACAGACUACCUAUGACACAAACACGACUGCUCUCCCAACCCCAAUCCCGGAGGACUCAUGUGACAUGCCAGCCGAGUGCAGCCCCUAUUCCGUUUGCAUUAGUGGAGCAGGAUGCCAGUGCCCGUCAGCACUUGGCACCUUUCCAAACUGCAACCCCGGUCUCAUAUCACCAUGUAACUCAAAAGAGGACUUUCAGCUAGCUCAAGUCGAUAGUGGAGUUGGGUAUAUUGGCACUAGGUUCACCCCGCCCUUGGCUAGAACAAACAUCACAGGAUGCAAGGACGCAUGCAUGAGCAAUUGCUCGUGCAUUGCCAUGUUCUUUGAGCAAACUUCAGGCAAUUGCUUCCUUUUCAACCAGAUCGGUAGUUUGCGCGAGAAAGAUAGAAGGGAACCUGCUUCUGUAUCUUUCAUCAAGGUAUCUAAAGUUGGGAGUGGCGGUGGGAGGCACACCGUCAUUACUGUUGUCAUUGUGGUCGUACUGUUGGUUGUCAUAGGGGUCCUUGUUUAUGUUGGCUUCAGCAUUUAUCGUCAUCGUUGGAGGCAACCUUCACCCUCACAAGAACAAGACGAUGGGUUUCUACAGACGAUAUCUGGAGCACCAAUGCGGUUUACUUACACGGAGCUCCGAGGUGCUACAAACAACUUCGCUGACAAGCUUGGUCAGGGAGGAUUUGGAUCCGUGUAUCUCGGAACACUCCCAGAUGGGAGUAGCAUUGCUGUAAAGAAGCCGGAGGGCCUAGGCCAAGGGGAGAAAGAAUUCCGCUCUGAGAUGACUACAAUUGGCAACAUCCACCAUGUCCAUCUAGUUAAACUCCGAGGCUUUUGUGUCGAGGGGGCACAAAGGCUUCUUGCGUACGAGUACAUGGCCAAGGGGUCUCUAAACAGGUGGAUUUUCAGUAGUACAGUGGAUGGUCCCCUUCUAGACUGGGAUACAAGGUUUCACAUUGCACUUGGAACAGCAAAGGGGCUGGCGUACCUCCAUCAGGACUGCGAGUCCAAGAUUAUACAUUGUGACAUCAAGCCUGAGAACGUUCUACUUGAUGACAACUUCCAUGCAAAGGUAGCUGACUUUGGGCUUGCCAAGCUGAUGAGCAGGGAGCAAAGCCAUGUUUUCACCAGGCUCAGAGGCACACGGGACUAUGUUGCGCCCGAGUGGAUCACUAACUACGCCAUCUCAGAUAAGAGCGACGUGUACAGCUACGGGAUAGUCCUGCUUGAGAUAAUCAGCGGAAGGAGGAGCUUCGACCCCUUGGAAGCCUCGGAGAAGGCCCAUUUCCCACCCUUCGCUUUCAAGAAGCUGGAGGAAGGCGAUCUUCGCAAUAUCGUCGAUGCCAAGUUGGCGUACGACGAUGGAGAUGGCCGGGUGGAGAUAGCUAUCAGGGUUGCUCUGUGGUGCGUUCAGCAGGAUUUCUCCCGGAGGCUUCCAAGGGGUCGAGAGUUGUCCAGAUGCUUGAAGGCGUCUGUGAUGUGCCACAGCCGCCGACGUCCUCGCAUGUUGUGGACCGGCUCCAUCCGAGUGCUUUCAAGCCGGCUGAUACUCUACUUUCAGCUGUGCAGCUGUCUAGUCCCAGAUGAUAUGCUGGAGUAG
rnacentral:rRNA from 1 species